rnacentral:rRNA from 1 species
GACGAACGCUGGCGGCGUGCCUAAUACAUGCAAGUUGAGCGCUGAAGGUUGGUACUUGUACCAACUGGAUGAGCAGCGAACGGGUGAGUAACGCGUGGGGAAUCUGCCUUUGAGCGGGGGACAACAUUUGGAAACGAAUGCUAAUACCGCAUAAAAACUUUAAACACAAGUUUUAAGUUUGAAAGAUGCAAUUACAUCACUCAAAGAUGAUCCCGCGUUGUAUUAGCUAGUUGGUGAGGUAAAGGCUCACCAAGGCGAUGAUACAUAGCCGACCUGAGAGGGUGAUCGGCCACAUUGGGAAUGAGACACGGCCCAAACUCCUACGGGAGGCAGCAGUAGGGAAUCUUCGGCAAUGGACGAAAGUCUGACCGAGCAACGCCGCGUGAGUGAAGAAGGUUUUCGGAUCGUAAAACUCUGUUGGUAGAGAAGAACGUUGGUGAGAGUGGAAAGCUCAUCAAGUGACGGUAACUACCCAGAAAGGGACGGCUAACUACGUG